rnacentral:tRNA from 1 species
GCGGGAAUAGCUCAGUUGGUAGAGCGCAACCUUGCCUAGGUUGAGGUCGCGAGUUCGAGUCUCGUUUCCCGCUCCA